UGAGGAAUAUUGGUCAAUGGGCGAGAGCCUGAACCAGCCAAGUAGCGUGCAGGAUGACGGCCCUAUGGGUUGUAAACUGCUUUUAUGUGGGGAUAAAGUGCGUGACGAGUCAUGCAUUGCAGGUACCACAUGAAUAAGGACCGGCUAAUUCCGUGCCAGCAGCCGCGGUAAUACGGAAGGUCCGGGCGUUAUCCGGAUUUAUUGGGUUUAAAGGGAGCGUAGGCUGUCUAUUAAGCGUGUUGUGAAAUAUACCGGCUCAACCGGUGGCUUGCAGCGCGAACUGGUCGACUUGAGUAUGCAGGAAGUAGGCGGAAUUCAUGGUGUAGCGGUGAAAUGCUUAGAUAUCAUGACGAACUCCGAUUGCGCAGGCAGCUUACUGUAGCAUAACUGACGCUGAUGCUCGAAAGUGCGGGUAUCAAACAGG
rnacentral:rRNA from 1 species